rnacentral:rRNA from 1 species
UACGUAGGGGCAAGCGUUGUCCGGAUUUAUUGGGCGUAAAGAGCGUGUAGGCGGCCAUACAGGUCAGCUGUGAAACUCGAGGCUCAACCUCGAGACGUCGGUUGAAACCGUAUGGCUAGAGUCCGGAAGAGGAGAGUGGAAUUCCCGGUGUAGCGGUGAAAUGCGCAGAUAUCGGGAAGAACACCCGUGGCGAAGGCGGCUCUCUGGGACGGUACUGACGCUGAGACGCGCAAAGCG